rnacentral:lncRNA from 1 species
UUCACACGAGGGCCUAGGGAAAAAAAGAUGACAUUAUGACAAACUUUGAGAUUCCAAAGAAAUUAGUCGUUCUUAGAAAAGAAUCUAGAUAAAAUUUUUACUAUGAUGAGUCACUAUUUUAUGUCUCUUAUACAAAGAAGGAUUGUGUAGUUUUUUGGUAUGAUUUAUAUGUAAUCGGACUGAAAAAUGGAACAAAGGAG